rnacentral:tRNA from 6 species
GGUGCGAUAGUUCAGUUGGUUAGAAUACCGGCCUGUCACGCCGGGGGUCACGGGUUCAAAUCCCGUUCGCACCG